GCUGGGCAUGGUGGUGCAUGCCUGUAAUCCCAGCUACUUGGGAGGCUGAGGCAGGAGAAUUGCUUGAACUCAGGAGGCGGAGGUUGCAGUGAGCCAAAACCGUGCCACUGCACUCCAGCCCGGGUGACAGAGUGAGAUUCUGUCUCAA
rfam:Homo sapiens chromosome 11, GRCh38 reference primary assembly.